rnacentral:rRNA from 1 species
GACGAACCUUGCUAACGUUAUUCGGAAUUACUGGGCUUAAAGGGUGCGUAGGCGGUGCUGUAAGUUGGGUGUGAAAUCCCUCGGCUCAACCGAGGAAUUGCGCCCAAAACUGUUGCACUAGAGGAAGACAGAGGUACGCGGAACUUAGGGUGGAGCGGUGAAAUGCGCAGAUAUCGGGAGGAACACCCGUAGCGAAGGCGGCACUCUGGGCCGGUACUGACGCUGAGGAGCGAAAGCGUGGGGAGCAAACAGG